CAGUCGAGCGGCAGCACGGGUACUUGUACCUGGUGGCGAGCGGCGGACGGGUGAGUAAUGCCUAGGAAUCUGCCUAGUAGUGGGGGAUAACGUCCGGAAACGGGCGCUAAUACCGCAUACGUCCUACGGGAGAAAGUGGGGGAUCUUCGGACCUCACGCUAUUAGAUGAGCCUAGGUCGGAUUAGCUAGUUGGUGAGGUAAUGGCUCACCAAGGCGACGAUCCGUAACUGGUCUGAGAGGAUGAUCAGUCACACUGGAACUGAGACACGGUCCAGACUCCUACGGGAGGCAGCAGUGGGGAAUAUUGGACAAUGGGCGAAAGCCUGAUCCAGCCAUGCCGCGUGUGUGAAGAAGGUCUUCGGAUUGUAAAGCACUUUAAGUUGGGAGGAAGGGUACUUACCUAAUACGUGAGUAUUUUGACGUUACCGACAGAAUAAGCACCGGCUAACUCUGUGCCAGCAGCCGCGGUAAUACAGAGGGUGCAAGCGUUAAUCGGAAUUACUGGGCGUAAAGCGCGCGUAGGUGGUUUGUUAAGUUGGAUGUGAAAGCCCCGGGCUCAACCUGGGAACUGCAUCCAAAACUGGCAAGCUAGAGUAUGGUAGAGGGUGGUGGAAUUUCCUGUGUAGCGGUGAAAUGCGUAGAUAUAGGAAGGAACACCAGUGGCGAAGGCGACCACCUGGACU
rnacentral:rRNA from 1 species